GCAUGACAACGACAACCACAGCUGCCAGCAAAGACAACCAACAUUGCAGCAACGACAACCACAGCUGCAGCAACGACAACCACAGCUGCCCCGACCACAACCACUGCUGC